rnacentral:rRNA from 1 species
UACGAACUGUGCAAACGUUAUUCGGAAUCACUGGGCUUAAAGGGUGCGUAGGCGGCUGUCUAAGCAGGGUGUGAAAGCCCCCGGCUCAACCGGGGAAUUGCGUUCUGAACUGGACGGCUGGAGUGGGAUAGAGGUGUGUGGAACUUCCGGUGGAGCGGUGAAAUGCGCAGAUAUCGGGAAGAACACCGGUGGCGAAGGCGGCUCUCUGGACCUGUCCUGACGCUCAGGCGCGAAAGCGUGGGGAGCGAACAGG